UAGUCCACGCCGUAAACGAUGAUAACUGGUUGUGUGCGAUACACAGUGCGCGACUGAGGGAAACCAUUAAGUUAUCCACCUGGGGAGUACGUUGGCAACAAUGAAACUCAAAGGAAUUGACGGGGGCCCGCACAAGCGGAGGAACAUGUGGUUUAAUUCGAUGAUACGCGAGGAACCUUACCUGGGCUUAAAUGUAGAGUGCAUGACUUGGAAACAGGUCUUUUCUUCGGAACUCUUUACAAGGUGCUGCAUGGUUGUCGUCAGCUCGUGCCGUGAGGUGUCGGGUUAAGUCCCAUAACGAGCGCAACCCCUAUCGUUAGUUGCUAGCAGGUAAUGCUGAGGACUCUAACGAAACUGCCGGUGUAAACCGAGAGGAAGGUGGGGAUGACGUCAAAUCAGCACGGCCCUUAUGUCCAGGGCUACACACGUGUUACAAUGGUAAGUACAGAGGGCAGCGAGCCAGCAAUGGUGAGCGAAUCCCUAAAAGCUUAUCUCAGUCCGGAUUGG
rnacentral:rRNA from 1 species